rnacentral:rRNA from 1 species
GACGAACCGUGCGAACGUUAUUCGGAAUCACUGGGCUUAAAGCGCGUGUAGGCGGGACGGCACGUCGGUCGCUGAAAUCCCUCGGCUUAACCGGGGAACUGCGUCUGAUACUGGAUGGCUUGAGUUCGGGAGAGGGAUGCGGAAUUCCAGGUGUAGCGGUGAAAUGCGUAGAUAUCUGGAGGAACACCGGUGGCGAAGGCGGCGAUCCUGGACCGAUACUGACGCUGAG